GACGAACGCUGGCGGCGUGCUUAACACAUGCAAGUCGAACGGAAAGGCCUCUUUCGGGGGGUACUCGAGUGGCGAACGGGUGAGUAACACGUGAGUAACCUGCCCUUGACUUUGGGAUAACUUCAGGAAACUGGGGCUAAUACCGGAUAGGAGCUCCUGCUGCAUGGUGGGGGUUGGAAAGUUUCGGCGGUUGGGGAUGGACUCGCGGCUUAUCAGCUUGUUGGUGGGGUAGUGGCUUACCAAGGCUUUGACGGGUAGCCGGCCUGAGAGGGUGACCGGCCACAUUGGGACUGAGAGACGGCCCAGACUCCUACGGGAGGCAGCAGUGGGGAAUAUUGCACAAGGGGUGGAAGCCUGAUGCAGCAACGCCGGGUGCGGGAUGACGGCCUUCGGGUUGUAAACCGCUUUCGCUCAUGACGAAGCUUUGUGUGACGGUAGUGGGUAAAGAAGCACCGGCUAACUACGUG
rnacentral:rRNA from 1 species